UACGUAGGGCGCAAGCGUUGUCCGGAAUUAUUGGGCGUAAAGAGCUCGUAGGUGGCGUGUCGCGUCUGCCGUGAAAGCCCAUGGCUUAACUGUGGGUCUGCGGUGGAAACUGUCUGGCUAGAGUCCGGAAGAGGAGAAUGGAAUUCCUGGUGUAGCGGUGAAAUGCGCAGAUAUCAGGAAGAACACCCGUGGCGAAGGCGGUUCUCUGGGACGGUACUGACGCUGAGACGCGAAAGCGUGGGGAGCGAACAGG
rnacentral:rRNA from 1 species